UACGUAGGGGGCAAGCGUUGUCCGGAAUCAUUGGGCGUAAAGCGCGUGUAGGCGGCUCGAUAAGUCUGCUGUGAAAGUCCAGGGCUCAACCCCUGGGAUGCCGGUGGAUACUGUCGAGCUCGAGUCCGGAAGAGGCGAGUGGAAUUCCUGGUGUAGCGGUGAAAUGCGCAGAUAUCAGGAGGAACACCAAUGGCGAAGGCAGCUCGCUGGGACGUGACUGACGCUGAGACGCGAAAGCGUGGGGAGCAAACAGG
rnacentral:rRNA from 1 species